rnacentral:lncRNA from 1 species
UACUGCGUUUUAGCACUUGCGGAAACGCCUAUUUUGUCGCGAUAUCUGUGCUGGGUGACGGCUAGAGUGUACGUGACGGCCAUUCAUUUUAAACCCCCUUGGGCCACUGCCGGACUAGAGGUG